GAUUCCCAGCCUGAUGCAGUGGGUUACAGAUCCGAUGUGGCCGCAGCUGUGGUAGGUUGCAGCUGAGGCUGGGAUUUGACCCCUCGUUGGGGAACUCCAUAUGUUGCAGGUGCGGCAAAAAAAAAAAAAAAAAAAGGAAAAGGAAAAAGAGGAAACAGACCUUCAUUUUGAGAACAAAAAAUAGGACUUUUUUAUUCUGCUGAGAAAGAGGAAAGACGAAGUCCGGCACCAGGCUGUGCUGGAAGGAGAGAUUCCAGAAUGAGGGGCGGUGCCUAGGUUAUUAGCGCUCUGAGCGCGGAUCCUGCAGAGGUGGUCUCAGGAGCUGGGCUCUGUAUCUGCGGGUGAAGUACCCCAUGCUUUUUAAAAGUCUCAUCUGCCGGGGGAGAUGUAAAUGCAAAGUGCUAAUCCUUUGUCAUCAAUAACAGUCCCAUGACACUGCUUUCCAAGACAAGUGUUACUGAUUCAAUUUGGUUGGCUGUGUUUAGCUUCCUUAAACCUGCUGCAGUUUCAGUUGAGUAAAGCAUGAUUCACUUCCUGCCCCAAAGGGUAUUAACCAGCCCUCAUGGUUUGGUCUGGAAGAGGCCAAAGCCCUGGGGGAUGAAGAGAGUGACAACUUGGGAAGCAGGGGGUUGGCACCUGGGAUGAGAGUGGCAGUUUCUAACCUGACUUUGGAAGGCAUUGAAGCCUUCAAGGCAUCCAAAAGGUAGCUGGCUCCACUGUGACUUGUGUUUUCUUUUGAAUUUGUCAGCCUCCCUUUCCUUGUAGUGGAACCAGCAUACACACUGCCUUGAUUUUUUUUUUUUUUUUUUUUUGUCUUUUUGCCUUUUCUAGAGCCGCUCCUGCGGCAUAUGGAGGUUCCCAGGCUAGGGGUCUAAUCAGAGCUGUAGCUGCUGGCGUAGGCUGGUGGCUACAGCUCCGAUUUGACCCCUAGCCUGGGAACCUCCAUAUGCCGCGGGAGCGGCCCAAGAAAUAGCAACAACAAAAGACAAAAGACAAAAAAUAAAUAAAUAAAUAAAGUGGAUGCUGGUAAUCUUUAAAAAAAAAUAAAAAAAUAAAAAAAA
rnacentral:lncRNA from 1 species